ACACCCGACCCUCCUUUCUAUCUCUAUCCCUCUGCGAGCAUCGCCUUGCUUUCUAGACGUGCUGUUGGACGUAGCUUGUAGCAAGAGAGGGAGAGGAUGUUGGGUGUGUUCAGCGGCGAGGUGGUGGAGGUGCCGGCGGAGCUGGUGGCGGCGGGGAGCAGGACGCCGUCGCCGAAGACGCGGGCGUCCGAGCUCGUGGCUCGAUUCAUCGACAGCUCUGUCCCGGCCGUGUCGUUCCAGAUCGGCUCCCUCGGCCACCUCGCCUACUCCCACGCCAACCAGUCCCCCUUCCGCCCCAGGUCGUUUGCAGCGAAGGAUGAUAUAUUCUGCCUGUUUGAAGGAGUGUUGGAUAAUCUUGGCAGAUUAAGGCAGCACUAUGGCCUCUCCAAGAGUGCCAAUGAGGUGAUGCUCGUCAUCGAGUCCUACAAGGCCCUGCGCGACCGGGCACCAUAUCCACCCAGCUCCAUGCUUGCCUACCUCUCUGGAAAUUUUGCAUUUGUGCUCUUCGACAAGUCCACCUCUUCGCUCCUCGUGGCUUCUGAUCCAGAUGGAAAGGUUCCUUUGUUCUGGGGGAUUACUGCAGAUGGGUGUGUGGCCUUUGCUGACAAUCUGGACUUGCUUAAAGGAUCUUGUGGCAAGUCUCUUGCUCCGUUCCCUCAAGGAUGUUUCUAUUCGAACACUCUGGGAGGGUUGAAAAGCUUUGAGAACCCAAAGAACAAGGUCACUGCUAUUUUAGCAGAUGAAGAAGAGAUAUGCGGCGCCACUUUCAAGAUCCAAGGGAAGUCAUGAAUGAGACAAAAAGCUUACAAUGAUAGCAACAGAAGGCAUAUUUAUGGGUGAGCAAUGAGCAUGUCCAAGAUCAGGUUUGGAUCAAAAUGGAAACUGCAAAGGGAGAAAUGGAUGAGCUAAAAAAAAUGUGAUGUUGCAAUGUAUUCCAAGCUAAGAACCAGAUCAUGCACUCAUGGUGGUGUUAGCAGGGACUGAAAAGAUGCCCUUCUUUUAGAUUCUUACCAAUGAAAGGAGGAUCUAAAUGGGCUUUGAGUGAAGCAGGAAGCUUUGAGGUGGAAGGAUCUGCAGUCCUCACAGCAACACAUUAGGAGUGAGUUGCUCGGGGCAGAAGAUCCAAUCUUGUUGUGAAUGGAUGCCACGAGGCAUGAAGUUACCGUGUUUAUAAUGCUGGAAUGUCACGAGUGUGCUUCAAUUUAGAAUAAUCUUUUAGGUGUAAUCCUCCUCCAUAAGUGCAUUGUAAUCAGACUUUAUGUAUGUAAAUCUGGUUAUGCUCAAAAUAAGAUGUUUAAAGUAACUUUUUCCCAGUAACUGAAAUUUAUUUUUAGCUUGUCAUCUUAUCAUCUUUAACACUUGUUACAAAAACCAUGGCAGAUUCCAUUUAACAAAUAAA